rnacentral:lncRNA from 1 species
AUGAAGUAUUUCUGGUUUAACUCCCUGAUGCAGUUGUUGAUCCUAUGGGUGGACAGGUGGGUGACAGGGGUCUUACUGUCCCUGGUCCCAUCUCAGAGCACACUCCAGUGCCCAGGGACUGAAAUGACCCAUGGCAGAGCCCCUUGGACUUGCAGUGUGGGGCCAUACCAGAGGUGCCAACCAGGGGCAGUGGUGGUCCAUGCGGCACACACAGUGGUGGCAGACGUGGCAGUGGUGGGCACGGGGCGGGCAGUAUGCCUCGCAGCAACUGCACACUGUCCAGUCCUCCUGGCUCUGCUGGGACGGCACUCAGCAGGGACCAGCUACCAGGGCUGCUCCCAGCAGUCACAACGCAGCCCCUCACCCCCAUCUCACCCCACCGGGUCCCCUGGCCACCCCCUCAGCGCCCUGGCCUCACCUGCUCAGGCUUUCGCCCCACUAGCGCAGAACAGAGAAGUCGACGGCGGUGUUGGGGAGGGGAACCACACCUGGGGACGGACGGGGCAGGGGGUGACACGUGAGACCCCACCUCACCGGGCCGCCACAGCCCAGCUGCCCCCGGGCAGGGGCUGGGCACCCGCUCCCCGCCAUGGCAGUCGGCCGGUGCCGCGGGGGACAGCGGGCCCCGGGGGGAGUUGGGGUCCGCAGGGAUGCAGGGGACACCCGGUGGCGGGGGGGCGCUCACCAGGGUCGGCGAGGCCGGCGCGCGCAGCAGGCCAGCAGCAGAAGCACGAUGAGGUUGAAGGCGGCAGCGUGGAAGGGGCACCAGGACGCGGGGAGGUGGGGGCGCGGGUCAGGGCGGCACCACGGGGGCCCGACCAGGACGAGAACCCUCCCCCGGCCCAACACCUUCCACACUCCCGGGAGACCCCUCGGGUCCCCCCCCGCCCACUCCUCCGGGGCCCGGCGGCACCUGCCGCGCAGGGCGGUCUGCGGCAGGACGUGCGCCAGCACGGCGUAGUCGGCGUAGCCCGCACCGAAGUAGGUGAGCAGCGGGCAGAGGGCGCCGCAGCGCCUCCCGCCCGCAGCGCCUCCCGCCCGCAGCGCCUCCCGCCCGCAGCGGCGCGGCGCUGCUCCCAAUCGGAGCGCGACCCCGCAGUGACGUUGCAAUAG